rnacentral:rRNA from 1 species
UGUGUGUUAGUGGAAGCGUCUGGAAAGGCGCGCGAUACAGGGUGACAGCCCCGUACACAAAAAUGCACAUGCUGUGAGCUCGAUGAGUAGGGCGGGACACGUGGUAUCCUGUCUGAAUAUGGGGGGACCAUCCUCCAAGGCUAAAUACUCCUGACUGACCGAUAGUGAACCAGUACCGUGAGGGAAAGGCGAAAAGAACCCCGGCGAGGGGAGUGAAAAAGAACCUGAAACCGUGUACGUACAAGCAGUGGGAGCACGCUUAGGCGUGUGACUGCGUACCUUUUGUAUAAUGGGUCAGCGACUUAUAUUCUGUAGCAAGGUUAACCGAAUAGGGGAGCCGAAGGGAAACCGAGUCUUAACUGGGCGUUAAGUUGCAGGGUAUAGACCCGAAACCCGGUGAUCUAGCCAUGGGCAGGUUGAAGGUUGGGUAACACUAACUGGAGGACCGAACCGACUAAUGUUGAAAAAUUAGCGGAUGACUUGUGGCUGGGGGUGAAAGGCCAAUCAAACCGGGAGAUAGCUGGUUCUCCCCGAAAGCUAUUUAGGUAGCGCCUCGUGAAUUCAUCUCCGGGGGUAGAGCACUGUUUCGGCAAGGGGGUCAUCCCGACUUACCAACCCGAUGCAAACUGCGAAUACCGGAGAAUGUUAUCACGGGAGACACACGGCGGGUGCUAACGUCCGUCGUGAAGAGGGAAACAACCCAGACCGCCAGCUAAGGUCCCAAAGUCAUGGUUAAGUGGGAAACGAUGUGGGAAGGCCCAGACAGCCAGGAUGUUGGCUUAGAAGCAGCCAUCAUUUAAAGAAAGCGUAAUAGCUCACUGGUCGAGUCGGCCUGCGCGGAAGAUGUAACGGGGCUAAACCAUGCACCGAAGCUGCGGCAGCGACACUAUGUGUUGUUGGGUAGGGGAGCGUUCUGUAAGCCUGUGAAGGUGUGCUGUGAGGCAUGCUGGAGGUAUCAGAAGUGCGAAUGCUGACAUAAGUAACGAUAAAGCGGGUGAAAAGCCCGCUCGCCGGAAGACCAAGGGUUCCUGUCCAACGUUAAUCGGGGCAGG